rnacentral:rRNA from 1 species
UACGAAGGGGGCUAGCGUUGCUCGGAAUCACUGGGCGUAAAGGGCGCGUAGGCGGCGUGUUAAGUCGGGGGUGAAAGCCUGUGGCUCAACCACAGAAUGGCCUUCGAUACUGGGACGCUUGAGUAUGGUAGAGGUUGGUGGAACUGCGAGUGUAGAGGUGAAAUUCGUAGAUAUUCGGAAGAACACCGGUGGCGAAGGCGGCCAACUGGACCAUUACUGACGCUGAGGCGCGAAAGCGUGGGGAGCAAACAGG